GUUUUCCGCUGUCUGCCAUCCAGCGACGUGCGUAACAUCCUGGAGCUGGACGGCUACCUGGCGAAGGCAGGCCUGGAUAAGGAGGACCCGGCCCGAGCCCGCGAGAAGCUGAAGAAGAUUCGCGGCUUCCUGGUCCAGUUUCCUCUUCAGUUCCUGUGUGAGCAAAACCUGCUUCCUCCCAUCGGCUCCAAGGAGGCCAUGGUGCCCAUGGAGGUCUGGACCUGAGACUCACCUGUGUGUGUUCAUGUGGUACGCACACACACACAACCUGCCGCCAUUUUGGAGAUUCUAGUGGCUCAAAACUUCUGAAGUUGAUUUUAAAAUCUUUUAUCUUGUCCAGUGGCUCGUGAUCAUGUUUUUACCCUGAAUUAAGACUCGCGGGAGCUUAAACCCAAUCCACAUAAAAACGAUUUAUAUGUUCAGUGAACAGCAGUUUUUAAGUUGGUGAAAUGAGAAGUGAACAGGAAGGGAGGAGCCAUUUCUUUUAUUUGUUGAAUCAGUUUGCGUAGAGCGAUUGUUUUUCCCCGGGCGUGCCCGAGAACAUAAACCUGGGAGUUGUUUCUAAAGGAGCUGCUGUAGGUUUUUAUGUUUUCCAGAUAGAUAGAUCUGGAUCGUCUGGUUUUUUUCUCCAGGGCCAAAAUAAAUCAGCACUGUUGACAAUUCAUCUCCAGUGAUUAGGAACCAGAACGUAGCUGAUCAGUCUGGUUUGCAGACAUUUACACUACGACCUCCAAAAUGGCAUCAGCUGUGUUUGCUGCAGAUUCACGAUGAAGCCUCUGAACUGUCGGUGCCACUGAGAGCGCACACAUAGCAUAACACUGCAUCACACACACACACACACACACACACACACACAUACACAUAAGCAGACGCAGCGUUGAACUCUACGAUACCUGACAACCUGACGUUUACAAGAAGCGAAUGAAGACAUGGAAGAGUUGGAAGCUUCCUCCUUCCAGAUCGUUUCCUCUGAAACCUCCGCUCCCCUGCUCUCUGACAACACUAUGCAACGUCCAGGGGUCUGUGAACGCAGCUCGGACUCCUCUGCGUUCGAAAAAGACACUAAAAAGAGACUUUGAUGAAGACGGCGGCGCAGAGACGAGGAUGAAGAGCUGCGUCGUAUAUCUCUGAACUCCCAGAGUUUUAAUAUUCAUGUCAAACAGAAAAUGUCGAGUGCCAAAGAAGACGGACUGUAGCCCGAUGUUGAGACAUUGACAUUCCUCAUUACACUGAAGUGACCUGUUUUUAUACGUCUGCUCUCUGUGCUUCCUUUGGUGCUGCUUUAUUUGAUGGAUCUGUCUCGGGACGUUUUCUGGAGAGAAGUGAAAGAUGUCACCAUUUCAGUUCACAUAUCGGAAAUGUUGCUCAUAUAAUGGUUCAAUCAUAUUUGUACUUGUUUCACUUUUAAUUAAGUUUGUUUACAGGAAAUGAAGCAUUCCACCUUCUGCACCAAGGUGUUUUACUCGUUUUUAGCCUUUAGGGGGCAGCAGAAGAAACUGAAAGCACAGGAUGAGCAUGUUAUCACUUUGCAUCACAUCAAAACCAAUGACUGUUUACACGUCCUACAUAACGAUUGGUUCCGUUUCUUGCAUGAGAAGAUCACUUAGUGCCACGUUGAAGCUGCUACAGUCGGACAUUUAUAUUUUACAGCUUGGUAACGGGGGUUGCAGUCGGUGGAGGUCAGGUCUUUAUCAAAGCUGAUAACUUGUGAGAAUCCUGUUCUCAGUUUCUUUCAGCUGCUCACGUGUGGACGGAGGAUCCAGUGAACAGGUCGAAGGAGAAUAAUAAAAAGUCCAGUUUUAAAUUUUGAACUCAAACCGUCGUCUCUGGAUUUUCGAUUGUCUGGAAAGCGCCAACCUUCCUCCGUGUCUUCCUGUUGGUCUGUAAAUUAUCUGCAUGAUGCUGUUUAGUGCUUUAAAUUCAAAGACGUUACCUUGAGCUGAGAGCAUGAGAGCAGCUCGUUGCCAUUAAACCCGACAAAAAAAAAAAAGAGCAUGAAGCCCUGCAAACUGAAGGGUUCGUUUAAAGCCAUGGACUGUGUUGUUGCUAAAAGACGUGCCUGUCCCCGAACUGAACCUGACGCUCCUCUUCUGUCGAUAUCUCUGGUAAAUGGGCCCUGAAGCGUGCUCCUUCUUUUUCUUCUUCCUCUCUACCUCCUUGUGUUUUCUACCUCCAGAGCUCAAAAAAAAAAAAAAACUGUUAUGAAUAUUUGCAGCCAAGUGAAGUCGCCCGAACAGAAAAAAGAAAUGUUCAAAGUUUGCUGUCGUGUGCAAUAACCAGCCUGUUUCCAUCCGAACCAGAAUCUGUAGCAGAAGCAGAAAGAUGACUUUGAACUGUUUCACUUAUUUAUACUUUUUCUCUUUUUCCUCGGACCUGAGCUGCAGAGCUUCACAAACAGACCCCGGCUUUUCUCUGCUUUAUCACUGUGUCUCUAUGGAAACUGCACUAUUUGCACAGACUGUUGUUGUCUCUGGCGACUCCUUAAUGACGAUAUGCAGUACCACGUCAUGUGUUGUUUGUUUUCUUGUGAAAAGAUGAAAUAAAUAAAUCAUUAAAAAUGGAUUUUUUUUCAUGA